rnacentral:rRNA from 1 species
UACAGAGGGGGCAAGCGUUGCUCGGAAUUACUGGGCGUAAAGGGCGCGUAGGCGGGAUGGCAAGUCGGUCGUGAAAUCCCUCGGCUCAACCGAGGAACGUCGAUCGAUACUGCUGUUCUUGAGGAUUGCAGAGGAGACUGGAAUUCCCGGUGUAGCGGUGAAAUGUGUAGAGAUCGGGAGGAAACACCGAUGGCGAAGGCGGGUCUCUGGGCAAUUCCUGACGCUGAGGCGCGAAAGCGUGGGGAGCAAACGGG